rnacentral:rRNA from 1 species
UACGUAGGGUGCGAGCGUUAAUCGGAAUUACUGGGCGUAAAGCGUGCGCAGGCGGCUUUGCAAGACAGAUGUGAACUCCCCGGGCUCAACCUGGGAACUGCAUUUGUGACUGCAAGGCUAGAGUACGGCAGAGGGGGAUGGAAUUCCGCGUGUAGCAGUGAAAUGCGUAGAUAUGCGGAGGAACACCAAUGGCGAAGGCAAUCCCCUGGGCCUGUACUGACGCUCAUGCACGAAAGCGUGGGGAGCAAACAGG